rnacentral:tRNA from 1 species
GCCUGGGUAGCUCAGUGGUUGAGCAUCUGCCUUUGGCUCAGGCGGUAAUCCCAGAGUCCUGGGAUCAAGUCCCACAUCAGGCU